UGUAGAUCAGCUCCAAGCUUUCCAUGUAUUCUAGAUAAUCAGUCACUCGAAAUCCAUGGAGUGCUUCUUCUUUAAGAAAAACCUGGAGAUCUUGGGCUUCUGUGUGCUUCAGGAUGUCUUGCUGUAGGUGUCUGAACACAGAAAUACACAUAUAAACCUGAUAGUCAGGACCAAGGAAAAUACAAGUAGCGAUGUAAUGAC
rnacentral:lncRNA from 1 species